AGUGGCAGACGGGUGAGUAAUGUAUAGGAAUCUACCUAGUAGUACGGAAUAAUUGUUGGAAACGGCAACUAAUACCGUAUACGCCCUACGGGGGAAAGAUUUAUCGCUAUUAGAUGAGCCUAUAUUAGAUUAGCUAGUUGGUAAGGUAAUGGCUUACCAAGGCAAUGAUCUAUAGCUGAUCUGAGAGGAUGAUCAGCCACACUGGAACUGAGAUACGGUCCAGACUCCUACGGGAGGCAGCAGUGGGGAAUAUUGGACAAUGGGCGAAAGCCUGAUCCAGCCAUGCCGCAUGAGUGAAGAAGGCCUUUGGGUUGUAAAGCUCUUUCGGUGAGGAAGAUAAUGACGGUACUCACAGAAGAAGUCCUGGCUAACUCCGUGCCAGCAGCCGCGGUAAUACGGAGAGGGCUAGCGUUAUUCGGAAUUAUUGGGCGUAAAGAGCGCGUAGGCUGGUUAGUAAGUUAAAAGUGAAAUCCCAAAGCUCAACUUUGGAAUUGCUUUUAAAACUGCUAACCUAGAGAUUGAAAGAGGAUAGAGGAAUUCCUAGUGUAGAGGUGAAAUUCGUAAAUAUUANGAGGAACACCAGUGGCGAANGCGUCUAUCUGGNUCAAAUCUGACGCUGAGGCGCGAAGG
rnacentral:rRNA from 1 species